UACGGAGGGUGCAAGCGUUAUCCGGAUUCACUAGGUUUAAAGGGUGCGUAGGCGGGCAGGUAAGUCAGUGGUGAAAUCUCCGAGCUUAACUCGGAAACUGCCGUGGAUACUAUUUGCCUUGAAUAUUGUGGAGGUGAGCGGAAUAUGUCAUGUAGCGGUGAAAUGCUUAGAUAUGACAUAGAACACCAAUUGCGAAGGCAGCUCACUACACAAUGAUUGACGCUGAGGCACGAAAGCGUGGGGAUCAAACAGG
rnacentral:rRNA from 1 species